AUAAAGAAAAUAUGAAGACUAUAGUGCUUGCAGUUUUGAUGGUAACAUGUUUUAUAGGUAAACAGGACGUGCGUGUUGGCGCAAUAACGGUACAAAUGACCCCUAAUCAGUGUGCAUUAAACACUGCCGCAAUUGGAUGCAAACCAAGGCGAUAUUUCAGUUCUGAAAACUCUGAUAACUCUAAUGAUUCUCACGAUUCUCACGAUUCUGACAUGUCAGAUAGAUAUAGAAAAGUUAUGACAAAGGGAGACAGGAAUUGUCAGGAUUGUUGUGAAAGGUCUGGUUGUAGGAGAGGCGUGUGUAUUGGUAGAACCUGUCGGUGUAGGCAAUGUUAGUUCAUAUGCAGAACGUUUUAAAGCUGAAUUCACAUUACUUUUUUGCUCAAAUAAAAAGUGUUUUCCUAAUUAUGAUACAAA